rnacentral:misc_RNA from 1 species
GAAAUGCGAUAAGUAAUGUGAAUUGCAGAAUUCAGUGAAUCAUCGAAUCUUUGAACGCACCUUUCGCUCCUUGGUAUUCCUUGGAGCAUGCCUGUUUGAGUAUCAUGAAAUCUUCAAAGUAAAUCUUUUGUUAACUCAAUUGGUUUCUACUUUGGUAUUGGAGGUCUUUGCAGCUUCACACCUGCUCCUCUUUGUUCAUUAGCUGGAUCUCAGUGUUAUGCUUGGUUCCACUCGGCGUGAUAAGUUAUCUAUCGCUGAGGACACUGUAAAAGGUGGCCAAGGUAAAUGCAGAUGAACCGCUUCUAAUAGUCCAUUGACUUGGACAAUACUUUUAUGAUCUGAUCUCAAAUCAGGUAGGACCACCCGCUGAACUUAAGC